GAAGGUUUUCGGAUCGUAAAACUCUGUUGUAAGGGAAGAACACAUACGAGAGUAACUGCUCGUAUCUUGACGGUACCUUAUUAGAAAGCCACGGCUAACUACGUGCCAGCAGCCGCGGUAAUACGUAGGUGGCAAGCGUUGUCCGGAAUUAUUGGGCGUAAAGCGCGCGCAGGCGGUUCUUUAAGUCUGAUGUGAAAGCCCACGGCUCAACCGUGGAGGGUCAUUGGAAACUGGAGAACUUGAGUACAGAAGAGGAAAGCGGAAUUCCACGUGUAGCGGUGAAAUGCGUAGAGAUGUGGAGGAACACCAGUGGCGAAGGCGGCUUUCUGGUCUGUAACUGACGCUGAGGCGCGAAAGCGUGGG
rnacentral:rRNA from 2 species